UACGGAGGGUGCAAGCGUUAUCCGGAUUCACUGGGUUUAAAGGGUGCGUAGGUGGGCAGGUAAGUCCGUGGUGAAAUCUCUGAGCUUAACUCAGAAACUGCCGUGGAUACUAUUUGUCUUGAAUACUGUGGAGGUAAGCGGAAUAUGUCAUGUAGCGGUGAAAUGCUUAGAUAUGACAUGGAACACCAAUUGCGAAGGCAGCUCACUACGGGAUUAUUGACACUGAGGCACGAAAGCGUGGGGAUCAAACAGG
rnacentral:rRNA from 1 species